GACGAACGCUGGCGGCGUGCUUAACACAUGCAAGUCGAACGGUAAGGCCCUUCGGGGUACACGAGUGGCGAACGGGUGAGUAACACGUGGGCGAUCUGCCCUGCACUUCGGGAUAAGCCUGGGAAACUGGGUCUAAUACCGGAGAGGACCACUGCCUGCAUGGGUGGUGGUGGAAAGCUUAUGCGGUGUGGGAUGGGCCCGCGGCCUAUCAGCUUGUUGGUGGGGUGAUGGCCUACCAAGGCGACGACGGGUAGCCGGCCUGAGAGGGUGACCGGCCACACUGGGACUGAGAUACGGCCCAGACUCCUACGGGAGGCAGCAGUGGGGAAUAUUGCACAAUGGGCGCAAGCCUGAUGCAGCGACGCCGCGUGAGGGAUGACGGCCUUCGGGUUGUAAACCUCUUUCAGCAUCGACGAAGCGCAAGUGACGGUAGGUGCAGAAGAAGGACCGGCCAACUACGUGCCAGCCGCCGCAGUAA
rnacentral:rRNA from 1 species